rnacentral:lncRNA from 1 species
ACGCCUGUAAUCCUAGCACUUUGGGAGGCCGAGGCAGGCAGGUCACCUGAGGUGAGAAGUUUGAGACCAGCCUGGCCAACAUGGUGAAACUACAUCUCUACUAAAAAAUACAAAAAUUACCCAGGCGUGUUGGUGGGCACCUGUAAUCCCAGCUACUUGGAAGGCUGAGGGGAAGGAUUGCUUGAACCUAGGAGGCAGAGGUUGUAGUGAGCUGAGAUCACACCACUGCACUUUAGUCUGGGUGACAGAGUGAGUCUCUGUCUCAAAAUAAAUACAUACAUACAUACACACAUACAUACAUACAUACAUGCAUAAAAAUAUUCGGACUGGAGUUUGUUUUGUAUUGCCAAGAUCAGAUUUCCACUAAUCAGAUUUACCUAGAAGUUAUAACCCUAAAGAAUUUCUAAAGAUGGAGAACUUUUUAGUAUGAGUCAAUGGUUUACUCUUGAAAUUUUAGAACUGAGUAAAAAUACAUAAGCACUUUAUCCUCAUGGCAUGUGGAAAACAGUUUAAAAUGGUCAAAAGCUAUCCACAAUUAGAAAAGUGGCGAGAAAGGGGCUUGAUAUGAGUUGGAUAUGAAGACACAAACAGUAUCUGAGGCAAGAAUAGAGGUCUCAUAUAUUUCCUGUGUUCUGUUCCAUUUCAGGAAGAAAGUUUCUAUUUAUCUCUGUAAAACGAUGGCAAAGCUGAUUAACAUAAGGAGGAAUUUAUUAAUUUAUACAAUAUCCCUUUAGUGAAUAAACAGUUUGGAAUAUGUUGUUGGUUCCAUGCAGAAUUUCAUACUGGGCAGCCAAAAUAAUGUCAUUUCCCAAACACCACAUGGUUUUUGGUCACUUAAGAGAUGUUUUAUUUGUUCUGAUGAAAGAUUUUAUGUGAGGGAUAAUCUGAUUAUUUCUUAAUUUAGACUAGCAUUUACAUUAGCCAAUCUCCUAGAAUCUGAGUCUCAGCCUUUUAUUUCAUAGGUCUGUGGAGAAAAGAAAGGGAAC